GUCUCUGAAGCGCAACUGAUAGCGCGUUGGACUUCUAAUCUAAAGGUAGUGAGUUCGAAUCCCACCUGGGAUG